CCCACUGUUCCGUCAGUGGUAGCCUACGGGCACGUGCAUCACGAGUAAUUGUUUUGUACGAAGCUGCUCCGGACAAAGUAACCCACCCGAAAGGGGAAGCCGAAGCCGUAAGGUGGACGCAACGACCGCCAGCAUCAGGAGGUUAGGGAG
rfam:Parabacteroides goldsteinii dnLKV18 genomic scaffold acPFM-supercont1.2, whole genome shotgun sequence.